UACGUAGGGGUGCAAGCGUUAAUCGGAAUUACUGGGCGUAAAGCGUGCGCAGGCGGUUUUGUAAGUCAGAUGUGAAAUCCCCGGGCUUAACCUGGGAACUGCGUUUGAAACUACAAGGCUAGAGUGUGGCAGAGGGGGGUGGAAUUCCACGUGUAGCAGUGAAAUGCGUAGAGAUGUGGAGGAACACCGAUGGCGAAGGCAGCCCCCUGGGUUAACACUGACGCUCAGGCACGAAAGCGUGGGGAGCAAACAGG
rnacentral:rRNA from 1 species